rnacentral:rRNA from 1 species
ACAUGCAGUCGAGCGGAUGAGAGGAGCUUGCUCCUGGAUUCAGCGGCGGACGGGUGAGUAAUGCCUAGGAAUCUGCCUGGUAGUGGGGGACAACGUUUCGAAAGGAACGCUAAUACCGCAUACGUCCUACGGGAGAAGCAGGGGACCUUCGGGCCUUGCGCUAUCAGAUGAGCCUAGGUCGGAUUAGCUAGUUGGUGAGGUAAUGGCUCACCAAGGCGACGAUCCGUAACUGGUCUGAGAGGAUGAUCAGUCACACUGGAACUGAGACACGGUCCAGACUCCUACGGGAGGCAGCAGUGGGGAUAUUGGACAAUGGGCGAAAGCCUGAUCCAGCAUGCCGCGUGUGUGAGAAGUCUUCGGAUUGUAAGCACUUAAGUGGAGGAAGGUUGUAGAUUAUACUCUGCAUUUGACGUACGACAGAUACCGCUACUCUGUCCACAGCGCGUAAUAGAGGGGGCAGCUUAUCGAAUUCUGGCGUAAGGCCGUGGUGUUGUAAGUGAUGUAAUCCCGGCUCACCUGGACUGUCAAACUGAGCAAAGUGGGAAGGGGGGAUUUCU